ACUGUGGGCAGAAGUGCUGCGGUUUGUCUGCUGUUCCAGCAAGGACCGCUUCCUAGCUGGAACAGCAGACAAACCGCAGCACUUCUG